ensembl:misc_RNA Y_RNA Y RNA
GGCUGGUCCGAAGGUAGUGAGUUAUCUCAAUUGAUUGUUCACAGUCAGUACAGAUUGACCUCCUUGUUCUACUCUUUCCCCCUUCUCACUACUACACUUGACUAGUCUAAA